GCUAUGGUUGGCCCUGAGGUGUCCGGUGAUGAAUGAGGAGGUGUUUCCCCAGAGGCUCAGGAGAGAAACAGCCCUGUCUGUACACCAGCCUUCCCCUCACAAUGGUGGCCCACACCACUCCAUGUAAAGUCUGGCCAAGAUAUCUGAUGAACAUCCUUCUCAGCAUGAAACUUUAUGGGGCAAAUAGCUGUUUCAUGGCUGCGUGCAGGUCAGUGUCAGUGACAUGACAGAACUCGUCCACCCCACUGUGGAUCAGGAAACACUUGAAGCCAGCCACUCCGGCCUGGAUCAUGGGCCUCAGCUCUAACUGCAGGGACAAGGUCAUAGUUUGUGUGUGCUUUAUAUGAUACCUAUAAACUGCGACUUGACUGCAGCUGCCAGUCAUUCAACAAGGCUUUUCCCCACUGUACCUGGUUGCCAGGAACCACUCCACCCCAGAAAGCUGUGUCCACAAAACACUUCUGUGUGGCCUCCCUUGUCUUCUCAUAAAAAUUAUUUAGUGUGGUGGUUGACGGGAUGC